AAAAGUUAUUAUAUCAGCACUAAUGUACUGAAUCCCAUAUCAAAUAUACAAAGUUAAGCGUGUUUGAGUGAUAGUACUGGAAUGAGUGACCUCUUGAAAAGUCAUUCUGUUGCACUUG
rnacentral:rRNA from 1 species